GCUAUCAAUAAGCGGAGGAAAAGAAACCAACAGGGAUUGCCUUAGUAACUGCGAGUGAAGCGGCAAAAGCUCAAAUUUGAAAUCUGGCGCUUCUGGCGUCCGAAUUGUAAUUUGGAGAGAUUUCUUCGGAGUGAACACCGGUCCAAGUUCCUUGGAACAGGACGUCACAGAGGGUGAGAAUCCCGUGUCUGGCUGGUUGUUUCAUUCCAUGUGAAGAGUCUUCGACGAGUCGAGUUGUUUGGGAAUGCAGCUCAAAAUGGGUGGUAAAUUUCAUCUAAAGCUAAAUAUUGGCGAGAGACCGAUAGCGCACAAGUAGAGUGAUCGAAAGAUGAAAAGCACUUUGAAAAGAGAGUUAAAAAGUACGUGAAAUUGUUGAAAGGGAAGCGCUUGAGACCAGACUCGAUUUAUGGUGAUCAGCAGUCCUUCUGGGCUGUGCACUUGCCAUUCUUCGGGACAGCAUCGGUUCUGACCGUGUGAUAAAGGUAUUGGGAACGUGGCUCCUCUCGGGGAGUGUUAUAGCCCAGUACGUAAUGACACGAGUUGGGACCGAGGACCGCGCUUCGGCUAGGAUGCUGUCAUAAUGGUCUUCAGCGACCCGUCUUGAAACACGGACCAAGGAGUCUAACAUCUAUGCGAGUGUUCGGGUGGAAAACCCUUGCGCGUAAUGAAAGUGAACGGAGGUGGGAACCUUUCGGGGUGCACCAUCGACCGAUCCUGAUGUCUUCGGAUGGAUUUGAGUAAGAGCAUAGCUGUUGGGACCCGAAAGAUGGUGAACUAUGCCUGAAUAGGGUGAAGCCAGAGGAAACUCUGGUGGAGGCUCGCAGCGGUUCUGACGUGCAAAUCGAUCGUCAAAUUUGGGUAUAGGGGCGAAAGACUAAUCGAACCAUCUAGUAGCUGGUUCCUGCCG
rnacentral:rRNA from 1 species